CUGAUUAAUUGAAUGGCCGCAGUAUUCUAACUGUGCAAAGGUAGCAUAAUCAUUAGUUUUUUAAUUGAAAGCUUGUAUGAAUGAUUGGACGAGAUAUUAGCUGUCUCAUUAAAAUUAUUUGAAUUUUAUUUUUUAGUUAAAAAGCUAAAAUUUGUUUAAAAGACGAGAAGACCCUAUAGAUCUUUAUAAUUAAGAUUUUUUGUAUUUUUGUAGUUUAUUUAUUAUAUUAAAAAUUAAAUUAUUUUGUUGGGGUGACAAUGAAAUUUAUAAAACUUUUGUUAUUCUUAAACCAUAAAUUAAUGAAUUAUUGAUCCUUUAUUAUAGAUUAAAAAUUUAAGUUACCUUAGGGAUAACAGCGUAAUUAUUUUGGAGAGUUCAUAUCAAUAAAAUAGAUUGCGACCUCGAUGUUGGAUUAAGAUUAAUUUUUGGUGCAGAAGCUAAAAAUAUUAAGUCUGUUCGACUU
rnacentral:rRNA from 1 species